GCACCCGUAGCUCAAUUGGAUAGAGCGUCAGACUACGAAUCUGAAGGUUAUAGGUUCAAUCCCUGUCGGGUGCGCCA
rnacentral:tRNA from 1 species